GAGUAUAUAUUCCUCUGUGACCAAAAAUAUGGAAUAUUUUUUCCCGAGGAAGGGAAAAUAUCAUUUCCCCACCAUUCAUAAAUCGCAUGCGCAUAAGAAUCGACAUAGAUUAAUAUUGGAGUGCAUUCUAGAGCUACACACGUUAUCUUACUCGUGGAUGAAAAAUAAAAUUGCGCAGCCCUUUCGCUCAGAUGUUGGAAUAUCUA